AGAAAAUCUCUAAUAAUUUAUUGACCUUCAGUUUCACAUUGUGAAAAAAAAAAUAACAGUUUUACGAAACCUCAAAAAUGUAGUAGUAGCAAACAAGUACAUACGAACAUGAACAUUUUACUUCUUCAACUUAUACAGUUUUGUACGUGAACGACAUAUUAAAUAGUCAAGACAGGGAUAUUAUGCAGCUCUAAUCACUUAUUCAGACAGGUGUCAAGCCCAGAGAAAAGGGGCUGCACAAUUAUACCAGAAGUGGAAGGCUGCCCUUUGUUAUCCGUUUCUACAGCAACCAGUCCACAAAAUAAGAAGAACCUUCUCUGUCUUAUGCCAAGGUUUUUUGUGUGUACUAUGCUGUGAAUUGUAUUUGCUUCAAAGUGUGGGACGUUUCACAGGGUGAGAAUGGUCAAGUAGUGAGCCCAAAUGCCUACAUGGAUUCAAAGAGUGGGAGUCCAGAAAGUUCCCUGCAGGCUGGGGGCCCACCCUUACCGCAGCUCCCUCUGGCUCACACACAGUAAUUAAUAGAGGAUUCAAGGACAGACCACAACUUUGAAACAGCUGCAGGAAAUUCAUCCUGCUCUCAGAAGCCAGCGUCUCUGGGCAGAUUUGCAUCAUAAACUAUAGAGCUGUAACUGCUACAAUAUAAGGACACCAACUAUGCUGCCAGGGUACAAUUAGACAUUUGCCUUGCUUAGAACACAUGUAGGAACCGGGGACUGACUGCUGGAAAGUAUUGUGAUUCUUUUAUUCCAACAGCUCAUUUAUUUUGGUCCAACUAUAGCCCACUUACUCAUGGCAAGGACGGACAUGUACAAUUAGUCUAAAGUACUAAGGUAGAGAGAAAUGUUAAGGAUUUAUCUGUCAUCAGACAAUGCAAACACACUCACGAUGUAAAAGGUUAUUAUCAGCCUUAAAUCCUAUUUUCUAAAAUACAGCAAUGUGAGAAACAUCAACAAAAGCAGUUUGAGUUGCAAACUUUGGUCUUCCCCAGACACCUCUGAGGAAGCACCUAUUUGAGUCUAGCACUAAUACCUACCACAGCACGUUUAGUAAACAAGCAUUCAAACUAGCAAAGAAUGUAUUCACAACUGAUUCCCAACUAUACUGGGAAAAACUCUCGACGGGGGCCACUGCUUACACAAUUCUUUGGUGUACUGUGGCCAAAUGUGUCAGUUUUGUGCACCAAAGAGUUCUGUUAGAGAUUUACCUAAGAGUGAGCACUAAAGUAUACAUUGUACCAAUAUAACUACUGUCUUGGGGAACUUCUAGCACUUGCUAAAUUGUACAGCAAGAACAGAGAACAACAACGAGUCCAGGUCAAGCAAAUUUGGUCAGUGAAUUAAUUUACAACUGUAAUAUUUCAGUUGUUCCCAUUAACUGUGGUUAUGGCAAAGCAAUCUCAUAGGAUAAUAAAUAGAUAAAUAAA